UCCGUAGGUGGUUUGUCAAGUCUGUCGUCAAAGAAUGGAGCUUAACUCCAUAAAGGCGGUGGAAACUGAGAGACUAGAGUUCGGUAGGGGUAGCGGGAAUUCCCAGUGUAGCGGUGAAAUGCGUAGAUAUUGGGAAGAACAUCGGUGACGAAAGCUAGGGUAGCGAAAG
rnacentral:rRNA from 1 species